GAUGAAGAACGCAGCGAAAUGCGAUAAGUAGUGUGAAUUGCAGAAUUCAGUGAAUCAUCGAAUCUUUGUACGCACAUUGCGCCCUUUGGUAUUCCUUAGGGCAUGCCUGUUCGAGCGUCAUUUAAACCUUCAAGCUAAGCUUGGUGUUGGGUGACUGUCCGCUUCACGGCGGACUCGCCUCAAAAUUAUUGGCGGCCGGUACAUUGGCUUCGAGCGCAGCAGAAACGCGAACUCGGGCCCGUCGUAUUGGCUCCCAGAAGCUAUCUUCACAAUUUUGACCUCGGAUCAGGUAGGGAUACCCGCUGAACUUAAGCAUAUCAAUAAGCGGAGGA
rnacentral:misc_RNA from 1 species